rnacentral:lncRNA from 1 species
GCGAGGUGGGCCCCUCAGAGAUGCGACCUGCACAAAAGUCCUAAUCGGAGAUGGCUUUAAUGAAGACCCUCCGAUGCUCAAGUCAGAAUUCUCGUUCAACAAAAGAAAGAGUGUGAGAGGCAAAAUAAUGGCAUAUCUUUUUCUAGGAUCCUCUUUGAGUCUCUUUUAUAGUAGAGAGUUGGAGCAUCAAUGGGCAAGUAGUUGGCAC